UCUGUGUGUGUGUGAGAGAGUACUGUAGCGACUGUGUGUGUGAGAGAGCGACUGUGUGUGUGAGAGAGCGACUGUGUGUGUCUGUGAGAGCGACUGUGUGUGUCUGAGAGCGACUGUGUGUCUGUGAGAGCGACUGUGUGUCUGUGAGAGCGACUGUGUGUGUGUGAGAGCGACUGUGUGUCUGUGAGAGCGACUGUGUGUGUCUGUGAGAGCGACUGUGUGUGUCUGUGAGAGCGACUGUGUGUGUGUGUCUGAGAGUGACUGUGUGUGUGUCUGGGUGUCUGUGAGAGUGACUGUCUGUGUGUCUGUGAGAGUGAUUGUGUCUGUGAGUCUGUGAGUGACUGUGUCUGUGAGAGUGACUGUGUGCGUGUGUCUGUGAGAGUGACUGUGUGCGUGUGUCUGUGAGAGUGACUGUGUGCGUGUGUCUGUGAGAGUGAC
ensembl:lncRNA